AUACGGAAGGUCCGGGCGUUAUCCGGAUUUAUUGGGUUUAAAGGGAGCGCAGGCGGAGAUGCAAGCGUGACGUCAAAUUUCGGGGCUCAACCCCGUCUCGCGUCGCGAACUGCGUCCCUUGGUUGCGGGAAGGGGAGGCGGAACUCGUGGUGUAGCGGUGAAAUGCAUAGAUAUGACGAAGAACACCGAUUGCGUAGGCAGCUGACCAGAUCGCAAAUGACGCUCAUGCACGAAAGUGCGGGGAUCGAACAGGAUUAGAUACCCUGGUAGUCCGCACAGUAAACGAUGAAUACUUGUUUUCGGCGAUAUAAUGUCGGAGGCAAAGCGAAAGCGAUAAGUAUUCCACCUGGGGAGUACGCCGGCAACGGUGAAACUCAAAUGAAUUGGCGGGG
rnacentral:rRNA from 1 species